CUCCUCAUCUCUCCUACCCUGAGUUACAUGGGCCAAAACCACCUCCUCUUCCAUUUUCAGGCAUAAUUUUUUCUGCAAUAUCCACUAUCAUCUUCAUUACUAUUCUUUGUCAUGUCCGCUAUAAUUACACAAAACUUCUUCAUUUAAUUUUUGCCAUUUCUUGUUUUUUUUUCCUUGUUUGAUUUUGCAUUUUUGUCUUUGCAUCACAGUGAGCUUUUACUCAUUCUCCUUCUUUGAUUUCUUGUUUUGUUUAAUUUUUGCUACUUUUUGUUUGAUUUUAGGUUUGAUUUCGCUACUUCUAUGUUUUUAUAAUUUUUGCAUUUUUUGUCUCUAAAUCACAAUGAACUUCUCCUUCUUCUUAUUUGAUUUUAUAUUUUAUUUGAUUUUUUCUAUUUUUUUCUCCCAAACACUUCAUUUUAAAUUUGAUUUAGAUAUCACUACAAGAAGUAAUGGAAUGCUUCGUUUUGAUCACAUGCAAUGAUUUAACGUCAGAUUUAUCCAUCGAUAAAGCUCAAUUAAUAGAACGCUAUGUUUUAGACACGCUCAAUGCAUUACCAUCGAAUUUAUCCACCGAUAAAUCCGACGAUAAAUUUUACCUAAAUUGAAAUCGCUCGCUCUCUCCCCUUAUUUUGAAACACUCACUCUCUCUAUAAAUAUCAUAUUCUUCUCUCUCUCCUCAAACUACCUCCGGCAACCCCCUCUGCCAAUGCCAAUGCCACCAACAGCCACCAAAGACUGCAUGAACUCCUUGCGUCAUAUUGGUCUCUCUGUCGCUACAGUUUUUGUCACUCCUACCGCUGUUGUCACCGUCGUUGCUGCUGCUGCUCACUGUGUCACCAGAGCUCCCUCUUUCCUCCCUCCUGUUUCAAAACGAUUAGGUUAGCAAGGCUAGUAGUGGCAGCAGGAAGCAAUUGGACCAGACCAGCAACAUAGGAAGCACGGCCAAACCAGACUAGUAGAGGCAGAGCACGACGUGCAGGACGCAGAGGAGCGGAGCUGACAAAACGGUGACGACAAAUAGUGACGACGACCACCACCACAAAGACCACCACAAUGACGACCACACGACAUGACGACAGCGCACACGACAGGUCAAAGACCAUGACGUCGCCGCACAUGACACAGCGGCGGAGGAAACGAUGAUAGCAGAGGAGACGACAAUGAGGCAGACGAUUCAUCAGAGGCUACGCCAAUGCUUCUUCUUCCAGCAAGAGCUCCAUUGUGCUUCAGUAGAGUAGACGACGCAGAGAUGAGAGUUGAGUGAGUCGUAGAGUGAGGGGUGAAGACUUAGGGUUUUUUCACUACUUCACUUUAUUACUUUUUACAUUAUUAUUAGAGAUUGUAAUGGGAGUUGGCAAAGAAAGUUUGGAAAUGAUUGAGAAUAAUAGUAUUUUUCAAUGGGAGUUGUUUGCUAUUUGGAGAGAAUAUCUCUUGAUCUGGGAUGUGGAUCCAUGAGAUGUUAUU